AAGAGUUUUAGCAGUCUGACAUAUUAUGUUGCUUCUCUUGUUCUGUACAGUACCAUCAGCAGGCAUGGCACUUUACUGAGAAAAGGAGAACAGGUUCCGAGCAAAAGGUUCUACAUCAAAUAAUUCACCCUGACAACAGAGAAAGAGAUGAAAGAGGAAUGCCUAAACAAAAAAGUCUUCACCUGCUGGGGAGCAACUUCAUCUGCUGUGGAAGAGAUUUCUACAACCUAGGAGCAAAGAUGUCCUCACUAAAUGCACCUGCAAAGAUGCUGGGAAGCCUGUCUCCAUCAUUCUUAUAACAUGCCUGCAGAGCAUUCAACAGGAGGGACAGUGCUUGCUUCAUGGUAGAACAAUUUCACGAUGAGACCAUCAAACUACAGGAAAAUAUGUAUUCUCUGUAAUCUCAGCAAGGCUACAGGGACUAUCAUUACUUUGGUAAAUUGUCUGGAGGCUGAUGCCAGGCUGAAGGGAGUUGCUCUGUACUGAUAGUGGGUGUUCCAGUAAAAAAGACCAUGGUUGGAAAGGGAUAGGGACAUGAAAAAGUAAAGAUUGUCUUACCUGUGAUACAUUCAUUUCCAGCAGUGAAGGACAAAUAUCCUUGUGUGGGUUGCUCUUCCCACUCAUUCCAAUAAUAGAAAUAGCUCAUAACUUUUUGAGAGUGCCCACUAGGAGGAGCAACCCUCAGUAAGGUCAGUUGAUGCUACUGCUUCU